rnacentral:rRNA from 1 species
CCUACGGGAGGCUGCAGUAGGGAAUAUUGCUCAAUGGGGGAAACCCUGAAGCAGCAACGCCGCGUGGAGGAUGAAGGUUUUCGGAUUGUAAACUCCUUUUGUUAGAGAAGAUAAUGACGGUAUCUAACGAAUAAGCACCGGCUAACUCCGUGCCAGCAGCCGCGGUAAUACGGAGGGUGCAAGCGUUACUCGGAAUCACUGGGCGUAAAGAGCGCGUAGGCGGGAUAGCAAGUCAGAUGUGAAAUCCUAUGGCUUAACCAUAGAACUGCAUUUGAAACUGUUAUUCUAGAGUAUGGGAGAGGGAGGUGGAAAUCUUGGGGGAGGGGUAAAAGCCGUAGAGAAUAAGAGGAAUACUCAAUGCGAAGGCGACCUGCUAGAACAUAACUGACGCUGAUGCGCGAAAGCGUGGGGAGCAAACAGGAUUAGAUACCCUAGUAGUC